rnacentral:rRNA from 1 species
UACGUAGGGUGCAAGCGUUAAUCGGAAUUACUGGGCGUAAAGGGCGCGUAGGCUGUGCUGUAAGUCAGGCGUGAAAGCCCCGGGCUCAACCUGGGAAUUGCGCUUGAUACUGCGGCGCUGGAAGGUGGGAGAGGAUGGCGGAAUUCCCAGUGUAGAGGUGAAAUUCGUAGAUAUUGGGAAGAACACCGGUGGCGAAGGCGGCCAUCUGGCCCACAAUUGACGCUGAGGCGCGAAAGCGUGGGGAGCAAACAGG